AGGAUUAGAUACCCUGGUAGUCCACGCCGUAAACGAUGUCGACUUGGAGGUUGUUCCCUAGGUUAAAACUCAAAUGAAUUGACGGGGGCCCGCACAAGCGGUGGAGCAUGUGGUUUAAUUCGAUGCAACGCGAAGAACCUUGAGGAGUGGCUUCCGGAGCUAACGCGUUAAGUCGACCGCCUGGGGAGUACGGCCGCAUACCUACUCUUGACAUCCAGAGAACUUAGCAGAGAUGCUUUGGUGCCUUCGGGAACUCUGAGACAGGUGCUGCAUGGCUGUCGUCAGCUCGUGUUGUGAAAUGUUGGGUUAAGUCCCGCAACGAGCGCAACCCUUAUCCUUUGUUGCCAGCGAUUCGGUCGGGAACUCAAAGGAGACUGCCGGUGAUAAACCGGAGGAAGGUGGGGAUGACGUCAAGUCAUCAUGGCCCUUACGAGUAGGGCUACACACGUGCUACAAUGGCGCAUACAAAGAGAAGCGACCUCGCGAGAGCAAGCGGACCUCACAAAGUGCGUCGUAGUCCGGAUCGGAGUCUGCAACUCGACUCCGUGAAGUCGGAAUCGCUAGUAAUCGUGGAUCAGAAUGCCACGGUGAAUACGUUCCCGGGCCUUGUACACACCGCCCGUCACACCAUGGGAGUGGGUUGCAAAAGAAGU
rnacentral:rRNA from 1 species